GACGAACGCUGGCGGUGUGCUUCACACAUGCAAGUCGAACGAGGUAGCAAUACCUAGUGGCGGACGGGUGAGUAACGCGUGGGAAUCUGCCUUUAGAUGGGGGAUAACGGGUCGAAAGACUCGCUAAUACCGCAUAUGACGAAAGUUGAAAGGAGUAAUCCGUCUAAAGAUGAGCCCGCGUCCGAUUAGCUAGUUGGUAGAGUAAAAGCCUACCAAGGCGACGAUCGGUAGCUGGUCUGAGAGGAUGAUCAGCCACAAUGGGAACUAGAGACACGGCCCAUACUCCUACGGAGGCAGCAGUGGGAAUUUUACGCAAUGGGCGAAAGCCUGACGUAGCGACACCGCGUGAGCGAAGAAGCCCUGGGUGUAAAGCUCUGUCAGCUGGAACGAAAAAAAUGACGGUACCAGCAGAGGAAGCAUCGGCUAACACGUGCCAGCAGCC
rnacentral:rRNA from 1 species